UACGAAGGGGGCUAGCGUUGUUCGGAAUUACUGGGCGUAAAGCGCACGUAGGCGGAUAUUUAAGUCAGGGGUGAAAUCCCGGGGCUCAACCCCGGAACGGCCUUUGAUACUGGAUGUCUUGAGUCCGGAAGAGGUGAGUGGAAUUGCGAGUGUAGAGGUGAAAUUCGUAGAUAUUCGCAGGAACACCAGUGGCGAAGGCGGCUCACUGGUCCGGAACUGACGCUGAGGUGCGAAAGCGUGGGGAGCAAAGCAGG
rnacentral:rRNA from 1 species